UUAUGGCCAUAUCAAGCUGAAACCCAAGUUCCCAUAUGAUCACUGAAGUUAAGCAACGUUGAGCCUGGUCAGUACCUAAAUGGGUGACUGCUUGGGAAUACCAGGUGCUGUGA